rnacentral:lncRNA from 1 species
GUCAAAUUAAGAAAAAGAAUAAUAGCUUUAUUUGCUAUUAUUUUGGAAGUAGUACGUCAUACCACAAUUUACAUGAAAUGGCCCGUUGUGCUUAUUGAUUUCAAAAGAUUUGCACAUGACUCUCUUUCUUUGCAAUUCAAAAUUCUGGUGUAAGAAAUAAUUUUCUUUCUUCAUUCAACUGCAUUAAUAAGGCAAUUAUAUAUUCACUUUAAGUUUUGGACAAAGAUGAUAUUCCUUUCCACGUAGACUUGUUAAGAUACGUUUCCUUACUUUAUUGGGAAUGUCUUUUUGAACUUGCAUGUGGGUACACGCCGACACACAGUAACCAUCUUCGAUUAGGAGACUAAUUCGGGCAAUUUAAUUCCUUGUUGGAAUUGAUCAUGGCAGUCAUCCCACAUCGGCAAAGCCACUUAAUGUGCUGCCUCGAGAAAUCUAUAAAUAGUCACAUUCUCAUGUAUUUGAGCAUCAAUCAGCUUUCAGCAUCUUUAAGCUGCCCUUGAAUUCGUUUCUUUGACGAUUGGAGGCAUUAACGCGAAGGUAAUUUCUUCUUUUUUUCUCGUGUUUUUCUUGUUUUAUUGUCCCUUUUUUUCUUCUUUGUAGGUCAAGCGAGAAAGAUAUGCUCUUGUUUAACAAGAUGAUCCAUGCAUGAAGAAGAUAAUCUUGGGGUGUGAGGGGAUGAAUAUGCAUCCUUGCCCGAUUCUUGAAGAGAUUACUCUCAAUGUGGCCAAAUUCUUGGAGAGAUUACUCUCAAAAUCGCCCGAUUCUUGGAGAGAUUACUCUCAAUGUGGCCCAAUUCUUGGAGAGAUUACUCUCAAAAUGGCCCGAUUCUUGGAGAGAUUACUCUCAAUGUGGCCCAAUGUUUUAAGAGAUUACUCUCAAAAUUGCCCAAUUCUUGGAGAGAUUACUCUCAAUGUGGCCUAAUUCUUGGAGUGAUUACUCUCAAUGUGGCCCAAUUUUUGGAGAGAUUACUCUCAAAAUGGCCUGAUUCUUGGAGAGCAUUUCAUCCAUUUAGACCUUUGUACCCAUUCUAAUAUUCUUGAUUCGGACUUUGAUGACCCCUCUUUUCUUUUUCUUUUUUUUAGCACGAAGAGAUGGAACAUUUCAGGGAGUAUACCUCACCUUCCUCAAAACUUAGUGUCACACCUCCUUUUUCGCCCGCGCCGCCCGCGAAGGGGCACGGAAGGGAGUUUUUUCCAAUUAAAGGACAAUCGAAUCGGGAUUUAUUUAUUUAUUUCAGAGUCACCACUUGGGAGAUUUAUGGUGUCCCAAGUCACCGAUUGAAUCCCGAAUCGAGGAAAAUAUUCGACUUUCCAAUUGAAGUCUGCGAACCAGAAAUUCUAAGUAAGGAAUUCUGUUGGCCCGAGGGAAGGUGUUAGGCACCCCCGAAUCCCGUGGUUCUAGCACGGUCGCUUAAACUAUUGUAAUGGCUAGAUAUCUGA